GCCAGUCACAUGACCACUCCUAUCAACACCACUGCAAAAAAAGCACAUCCUCUUCAUUAAUAAAUGAAGUUUUGUUCCUGCUUUACUUCACCAUUCAUUUUCAUCUCAUAAAAGAGCAAUUUAUUGGAAUACAACAUACCUCGAUUACUGAAAGAGGAUUAAGAUAAUUUAAAAAAUGAAAACUGCGAGACAAUACGAGUAGUAUCAUGAUAAACUUAACCCCAGAUGGACAGCCAUUUUUUAAUCGUAAUUAAUGAAACAAAUGUAGAUCGAGAUUUCCGGAAAACAACACCACAAAUACAAGUAUAUGUGCAUCCAAAAUGAAGAAGAAAUGUUUCAGCUUCAGACAUUACCUCGAAUAAAGACAUCAAAUUAGUUUCUGUAAAGAGCAUUGUCAGGAGGGGGCGCCUAACAGCCCAAGGAUAACGAUGGAGUAUAUAAAAUUCGGCGCCAUACCUACAAUAGGAAGCAACAAUCAGGCACGUAUUGAUGAUUUACAUAGAAAUUUAGGCUUAAAAAUGAGAAAACACUUAUCAUGAGCUAAGAGCAAUGAGGCUCUUAAUUGUUUCAAAAUUUGAAACUAAUAAUAGAUGUAUGUUAUACAAACAAAUUCAGACUUCAAUACUUGUAAGAAAAAUCAAGUCAGUAAAUAUGGAACCUACUUAUCUCCGUUCCAUAGGUUUGGUUGUCUUUUUUUUUUUUUAAUUAAUGUUCAGAAUCGAUUAAAAAGUUUUUUAAUUCGAGUUCUUGCUAAUUUCAUUUUUUUAUUCCAUUGUGAAAUCCAAUUUUCUUAUUUAAUUUUAUUCCGAUCCUAUCUACCCAUUCGAAUUUUGGUUGCUUAAUUGUUCAGGAUGUUGGAGUUGAGAAUGAUCCUCUUGAAGACUUGAAUACUGAGGCAGAGAGGAGGUUGAUCCAACUGUUUUCCUACGAUUCUUGGGAACAUUAGAUACUACUUUUAAAGUAUUCAACCUACUAAAUGAUUCCUCCACACUACUGUUACCCUUAAAAAUCAUCUAAUUAUUUAUUCAUACACUAAUCUAAAUAAUGGCGUGAUAAAUCAGAAACCUUUCUUCAUGAAACAUGAACUGAGGGGAUGAAAGAAAUUAAGUUACCUUGAGCAUUUGAAUCCCUUUUUCGAAUGUAAGACAAAGAGUCUUUGACUUGUAAUGCAACAUUUAGAAAAUGC
rnacentral:lncRNA from 1 species